AUUGAACGCUGGCGGCAGGCCUAACACAUGCAAGUCGAGCGGAUGAAGGGUGCUUGCUUCUGGUUUCAGCGGCGCACGGGUGUGUAAUGCCUAGGAAUAUGCUUGGUAGUGGGUUAUGAUGUCCGGAGACGGGUGCUAAUACCGCAUACGUCCUGCGGGAGCUAGUGGGGGGGCUUUGGACCUUUCGCUCUCUUGUGAGUGUAGGUCGGGUUAGCUAGUUGGUGGGGUAAGUGCCUACCAAGGGGACGAUCCGUAAGUGGUCUGAGAGGAUGAUCAGUCACACUGGAACUGAGACACGGACCAGACUCCUAAGGGAGGCAGCAGUGGGGAAUAUUGGACAAUGGGCGAAAGCCUGAUACAGCCAUGCCGCGUGUGUGAAGAAGGUCUUCGGAUUGUAAAGCACUUUAAGUUGGUAGAAAGGGCAGUAAGUUAAGACCUUGCUGUUUUGACGUUACCAACAGAAUAAGCACCGGCUAACUUCGUG
rnacentral:rRNA from 1 species